AACGAACGCUGGCGGCAUGCCUAACACAUGCAAGUCGAACGAGACCUUCGGGUCUAGUGGCGCACGGGUGCGUAACGCGUGGGAACCUGCCCUUAGGUUCGGAAUAACUCCCCGAAAGGGGUGCUAAUACCGGAUAAUGUCUUCGGACCAAAGAUUUAUCGCCUUUGGCUGGGCCCGCGUUGGAUUAGCUAGUUGGUAGGGUAAAAGCCUACCAAGGCGACGAUCCAUAGCUGGUCUGAGAGGAUGAUCAGCCACACUGGGACUGAGACACGGCCCAGACUCGUACGGGAAGCAGCAGUGGGGAAUAUUGGACAAUGGGCGAAAGCCUGAUCCAGCAAUGCCGCGUGAGUGAUGAAGGCCUUAGGGUUGUAAAGCUCUUUUACCCGGGAUGAUAAUGACAGUACCGGGAGAAUAAGCUCCGGCUAACUCCGUG
rnacentral:rRNA from 1 species